AUGAGAGCUAGGAAUGUGUCCACAUCGAAAUUACUGUCUUUCGAGAUACUCCCUCCGUCCCAUAAUAUAAGACUUUUUUGGCACUACACUAGUGUCAAACAACAUCUUACAUUAUGGGAUAGAGGGAGUAUUUUUUUUAAAGAGCUGACUUAUUUGGCAAAUGUUGCAGACAGCAAGCAGGAAUUUAGCCAUGAUUUUGAUUUACGGAAGCCCCUGGAACGGCAUUUGCUUAAUGCACAGAAUAUUGAAUGUUUGAGCACUCAAGAUGUAGACACUCUGAGUGACCUCCAGAAUCGUUCUUCUGCUUUCUUAUCCAAACAUCAAAGGAAAGAUGGUGGAAAUCUGAAUGCUGGACGCAUUGCUAUACAGUCUCUCUGUGCACCACAGUGUGGAAAUUUUGAGAAGGACUGGGACAUGGUCUCGUUUCUCAGAUCACUGAAGGCCAUGGUGCGCUCAUCUAAUGCCGUUGCCAUUAUAACAUUUCCAUACACAGUCCUAUCAGAUUCUUUCUGCAAGAGAUGGCAGCACCUAGCAGAUACACUGCUGUCAAUAAAAGCAAUCCCAGACGAGGACAAGGACUUGGCGAAACUCCUCACAGGGUAUCAGGAUAUGGUUGGUUUUCUGCAUGUUCAUAAGGUGGCACAGACCAACAGCCAGGUUCCUGUGAUAUUAGAGGCCUCCACAUUUUCUCUGAAGCUGCGAAAGAGGAGGUCGCUGGUGUUAGGACGGCUGAAUCAGGCCACGGUAGACGGGUCGAGCGGGCCCUCGUCUGGUGGAUCAGGCAGUUGCUCCUCGUCGACGCAAGGCUCACAGCUCGAUUUCUAA
rnacentral:rRNA from 1 species